AGGACGAACGCUGGCGGCGUGCUUAACACAUGCAAGUCGAGCGGAAAGGCCCUUCGGGGUACUCGAGCGGCGAACGGGUGAGUAACACGUGAGUAAUCUGCCCCUAGCUCUGGGAUAGCUCCGGGAAACCGGGAUUAAUACCGGAUACGACCACCUUAGACAUCUUUUGUGGUGGAAAGAAUUUCGGCUAGGGAUGAGCUCGCGGCCUAUCAGCUUGUUGGUGGGGUAACGGCCUACCAAGGCGACGACGGGUAGCCGGCCUGAGAGGGCGACCGGCCACACUGGGACUGAGACACGGCCCAGACUCCUACGGGAGGCAGCAGUGGGGAAUAUUGCGCAAUGGGCGAAAGCCUGACGCAGCGACGCCGCGUGGGGGAUGAAGGCCUUCGGGUUGGUAAACCCCUUUCAGCAGGGACGAAGCGAAAGUGACGGUACCUGCAGAAGAAGCGCCGGCUAACUACGCGCCAGCAGCCGC
rnacentral:rRNA from 1 species